rnacentral:lncRNA from 1 species
CACGAGCCAAAAAACUCAUUUCUUGGAAUAUGAUGGAACGCCUCUUAAAGGUAAUACUAGUUGAGAGAACUCAAUGCUGGCAAGUCCUAUGACGCCCUUGUUUGCUUUUGCAGAUGUGAGAGAGCCAUAAGCAAAGACAAGUCUGGCUUGAGUAGAAGUCUGUAUCAUUCACUGAAGAAAGGAGUAAAUGACUGAGGAAGAUCAUGUCACCCAUUGGCAUCCACAUGUAUCUGAAAAGAAGUCCAUGUGCCCCUCCCUGCAUGCAUGUGAAAACGUACAUGCAUGCGCAACACAGAUGCAGAAUGAGGUGUGAUGUGACAAGCUACCCCAGUUUCUUUCUGUUGUGGAGUCUCCAGACAUCGAAUCCUCCCAUCAUGAUGUACAAUCUUGUCUAAAUCUAUAAGCAUAAAACAAAU